rnacentral:tRNA from 1 species
GGGCCGGUAGUCUAGCGGAAGGAUGCCCGCCUCUCGCGCGGGUGAUCCCGGGUUCGAAUCCCGGCCGGUCCA